AACUAAUAAGCUUUAAGAAGCAUAUGUUUUGAAAGCAUAAGAUAAAGAAAAUUCUUUAUUAGUUU
rnacentral:tRNA from 2 species